AUGGCAUCCUCUCAGCGUAGUGGGGUACGUACUCCCUUUCAGGACCUGACCAACAACAGCAAUUCAGGUCAAAAAGCAGAUCCAAAAGAGCUGAAGAGACAGAGGGAAAGGGAGAGGUAUGCACUAAACAGGGAUGCAAUAUUAAAGAAAAGACAAGAGGCAAGGGAUCGUAAGAAAGCUGCGGCUGCUAUUCUAAAUGAAAUCAACACUCCAUCUAAGCCAUCCGGGGCCAUGUCGCCUGGUUUUGACACGGUGGAGAGGCCCACUGCGCAGUCUGCUCUCACCCAGCAACGACACACACCAGCUGCAGAAGGCAUACCUGUUGAUGUCAUAAUGAGUGAUCGGACUCCACUUCCUGGUCUGAAUUCAUUAGGAACACCAUAUACUGCUGUUUCUAACAAGGAAAAUGUCAAUAAUAUCGACUCUGCCAACAUCGACUCUGCCAUUGGGUCCUCCCAACUGACUGUGUUACGACCACCACUUCAAUCCUACAGAGGCAGCAGUUCAUAUGCUAAUGAAGAUUGUGAUUGGCUACACACAAAUGAUACGUACCAGAGACAAAGCUUUGGAACAAGGAUGAGGCCAGACAACAUACUCACUGCGCCGUCAUGUGGACACAAUCCCGUCGACAAAUAUAAUGGUGCUUUAAUUGACUACUGCUUGGUUCAUACUUUAAUUACGGAGGGUCCACAAAACAUGCUUCUUGAUGCUGUGAUAACCAACGAUGGAGAUACAAUCCCCGAAUCGACAGAGCUACCGAGCGAUGACGAAUCAAGUGAAAUACUCAACAAUAAUGAAGUGGAGGAAAAUAAUUGCACGGAGAGCCCAGAAUAUACACCAAUCCUUGAAGAAAACAUAGCAAAAAGAGAGGCCAAAGAUUCUGAACAUACACAGAAAUUAACCCACAACGAAACAAGUCAACAAAUUGUGGUGGCUGAGGACGAGGAAUUGGCCCAUCAAUGA
rnacentral:rRNA from 1 species